GCGCUACUUCGGUAACGCAUAUACUAAAAUUGGAACGAUACAGAGAAGAUUAGCAUGGCCUUGGUACAGGGCAGCCUACUUAUACUGCGAUUUUUCUGUGCUUUGU